rnacentral:rRNA from 1 species
CCUACGGGAGGCAGCAGUAGGGAAUCUUGCGCAAUGGGCGAAAGCCUGACGCAGCAACGCCGCGUGAUUGAUUAAGCCCUUCGGGGCGUAAAGCUCUGUCAGUGGGGACGAAACUUGACGGUACUCACAGAGGAAGCACCGGCUAAAUCGGCGCAAGCAGCCGCGGCAAUACGGAGGGCGGAAGCGUUGACCGGAAUCAUGGGGCGUAAAGCGUUCGUAGGUGGUAUAUUAAGUCUGGUGUUAAAUGCAGAGGCUCAACUUCUGUGCGGCACUGGAUACUGGUAAACUUGAGUGCGGUAGAGGUAAAGGGAAUUCCAGGUGUAGCGGUGAAAUGCGUAGAUAUCUGGAGGAACAUCAGUGGCGAAGGCGCUUUUCUGGGCCGUAAUUGACGCUGAGGAACGAAAGCCUGGGUAGCAAAUGGGAUUAGAUACCCCAGUAGUC